AAAAAAACUAUUGCACAGAAUCUGGGUUCCCAUUUAGUAUUCAGAUUUCUCUUUGGCGCAGUUGAGGGUUCUUUUCUCUCAGAUUUGGAUGAUAUCCACCGCCACUUUCGUAACCACUGCAUAGAGAAAUCCUUCUUUAAUCAUUUUCUCCACCGCCACUCUCAUAACCACUGCACAGAGAAACCCUUCUCCAAUGGCUACGAUCUAAAGUGGUUAGUAGGGGAUAUAGAUCUUCUCUUUGUGUGAUUAGUAAGGGGUAUAGAUCUGGGUUGGGGAGUGCUGAUUUGAUGUGGUUCAUGCUUGGGGCUAAUGGUUUGUGGGGUUUUGAAUUUUGAUGGCUUUGCUGGUGUUGGGGUUUUGAAGGAUGGAUCUCGCUAGAAUCUGGGUCAAAAUUAUUGUUCGCUUUUUGUUCUUCAUUUUUGCUUUUUGUUCGCCGAAAUCUGGGUCAGAAUUAUUUUGAUGGAGUUGCUGGUGUUGGGGUUUAUUGCUCGUUUUUUGUUCUUCAUUUUUUGAUUUUUGUGUGUUUUUCACUUGAACGCGAACUUUUGAUGUGUUUGAUCCAUUUUCGCCAACACGGAGCUUGAACCAAAUGGUAAAUCUGGUGUAUGAACUCAUGGAUAUUUUUCUAAUCACAGUGGUAUCUCCUAGGAGAGGAUGAGAUAUGUAAAAGAGGAUAACAAGGCUCUCUGCGAUUGGACAUGCUUAGUCUGGAGAAAGAGAAGGUGAAAAUUUCUGUAGAGAAUAACACUAAUAAUUGAAGAAGAAGAGUAUUAAGUUUGAGGUUUUUGGUCUGAGAAUUUUAACUUCAAUCUUGAUUUGUUAAAAUUUUUAGCUUGAUUCAGAUUGGGUUUUUUUUUGAUUAAUUAAUUAAUUUUGUUUAGUUCGACUAAAUGAGUGAGAAAUUGAUUUGGUUUGAUUUUAUUAAAUUAUUAUUAUGUUU
rnacentral:lncRNA from 1 species